rnacentral:rRNA from 1 species
AGUGAACGCUGGCGGUAGGCCUAACACAUGCAAGUCGAACGGCAGCACAGUAGGAGCUUGCUCUUACGGGUGGCGAGUGGCGGACGGGUGAGGAAUACAUCGGAAUCUACUUUUUCGUGGGGGAGAACGUAGGGAAACUUACGCUAAUACCGCAUACGACCUACGGGUGAAAGCAGGGGAUCUUCGGACCUUGCGCGAUUGAAGGAGCCGAUGUCGGAUUAGCUAGUUGGCGGGGUAAAGGCCCACCAAGGCGACGAUCCGUAGCUGGUCUGAGAGGGUGAUCAGCCACACUGGAACUGAGCCACGGUCCCGACUCCUAAGGGAGGCAGCAGUGGGGAAUAUUGGACAAUGGGCGCAAGCCUGAUCCAGCCAUACCGAGUGGGUGAAGAAGGCCUUCGGGUUGUAAAGCCCUUUUGUUGGGAAAGAAAAGCAGCAGGUUAAUACCCCGCUGUUCUGACGGUACCCAAAGAAUAAGCACCGGCUAACUUCGUG